CGACCGGCGCACGGGUGAGUAACACGUAUCCAACCUGCCGAUGACUCAGGGAUAGCCUUUCGAAAGAAAGAUUAAUACCCGAUGGCAUAGUUCUUCCGCAUGGUAGAACUAUUAAAGAAUUUCGGUCAUCGAUGGGGAUGCGUUCCAUUAGGUUGUUGGCGGGGUAACGGCCCACCAAGCCUUCGAUGGAUAGGGGUUCUGAGAGGAAGGUCCCCCACAUUGGAACUGAGACACGGUCCAA
rnacentral:rRNA from 1 species